rnacentral:rRNA from 1 species
UACGUAGGUGGCAAGCGUUGUCCGGAUUUACUGGGCGUAAAGGGCGCGUAGGCGGUCAGCACAAGUCAGUUGUGAAAUCUCCGGGCUUAACUCGGAAAGGUCAACUGAUACUGUGCGACUAGAGUGCAGAAGGGGCAACUGGAAUUCUCGGUGUAGCGGUGAAAUGCGUAGAUAUCGAGAGGAACACCUGCGGCGAAGGCGGCUCUCUGGGACGGUACUGACGCUGAGACGCGAAAGCGUGGGGAGCGAACAGG